CAGCCGCCGCGGUAAUACAUAGGGGGCAAGCGUUAUCCGGAAUUAUUGGGCGUAAAGGGUGCGUAGGCGGCUAUUUAAGUUUAAGGUGUAAGUGCAAGGCUCAACCUUGUGAGGCUUUAAAAACUGGAUAGCUUGAGGUAGACAGAGGCAAGUGGAAUUCCAUGUGUAGCGGUAAAAUGCGUAAAUAUAUGGAGGAACACCAGUGGCGAAGGCGGCUUGCUGGGUCUAAACUGACGCUGAGGCACGAAAGCGUGGGGAGCAAACAGGAUUAGAUACCCUGGUAGUCCACGCCGUAAACGAUGAGUACUAAGUGUUGGAGAAAUUCAGUGCUGCAGUUAACGCAAUAAGUACUCCGCCUGAGUAGUACGUGCGCAAGCAUAAAACUCAAAGGAAUUGGCGGGACCUCGCACAAGCGGUGGAUCAUGUUGUUUAAUUCGAGGAUACGCGAAGAACCUUACCAGGCCUUGACAUCCCUUGCGAAGCUAUAGAGAUAUAGUAGAGGUUAUCAAGGAGACAGGUGGUGCAUGGCC
rnacentral:rRNA from 1 species